rfam:Aedes albopictus isolate Foshan contig133697, whole genome shotgun sequence.
UGUUCUGUGGCUUAGUUGGUAAAAGCGCCUGUCUAGCGAAACGGAGUCUUGGGUUCGUAUCCCACCAGAACGU